UAAAUAAGAAGCAAAAUUUGCCUUUAGUUUCGACCUAAAAAUAUGAUCUUACUGAUCCUUAUUU
rnacentral:tRNA from 1 species